AUGUAUUUGCAGAUAUAAUUUGUGUCCUGCAUUUAGUUAACUGGAUCAAAAACAUGUUUCUGUGUUGCUACGUAUGUGGCCAUCCUAGCUGGCUGGGUCCUUGUCCUUUGGGAGGACUGGAUGGCCCAGCCAGGACCUAGCCUCGGUGGCGAGGAUUGGCCAGUGCGGCAGGUGGGUCGAGGGUUCAGACAGGGCAGGAAUCCGAUUUAAUGUGGUCCAAAGUGGGGGCAGCGAGGUGGAUGCAGGCCAAGUAUACAGGGGGAAUCAUAGAGUGCAAGAGCAAAGAGGACAAGGACAAGAGUGAUGGAGUCACUGGAACAUGGAACCUGGAGUCAGGGACCGAAGUGAAGAGUGCCUGUGGUGUGAACAGGCCACUACAGCCAGGAGAGUCCCAGAUAAGUGUCCCAGCUCCGGCGGGGGGGGGGGGGGGGGGGGAUUGUCCUUUACAACGUUCUGGUUGGGGCAUGCCUUGUCUCCAAGACACGAUGUCAAGACUUAUUUUACAGACUGUGAGGAAUCCCAUUGGUAAAAGCUGGCGGUGUUUGCCUACGUGGGGCAUGCAGGAUGGGGACUUUAAAGCCAGCACAGGCUGAUACUUUAACCACUUUUCCCCCGUUGCCCAGGUUGCAGGCUGCCCUCCAGGCCUCCUGUGUAAGAAUUCCUCUGGGUUGUCAGCCACUCUGCCCUUUAUACUUCAUCUCUUCUGGCUUCACUCUGGUCUCUCCCCCAAAGAGGGUUUGAUAUUCAGGGUGUUUUCCUCUCCUUGCCCAGUCCCCUUGUGUGUGUGAGUCGUAGGCGUGGUCUGCCUGGCUUUGUGAUUCACUGAGUGAUGUAUAAGCUCAGGCUCCCGCCCAAGCGUUGGCCUGUGUGUGUGUCUACUGCGGGUGAUCAUUGAACUCGAGCAGAAUGUGCCCAUGCGCGGUGAAGACUGCCCUGCCCGGUACCCACCGGUCCUUCCCUAUGUGUCUAGAGAAGGAAGGUUGAUGGACUAGGCUUCCUCCGAGUCCCCCGUACCUGUAACGUGGAAGAUUGGUCCACCGGUGACGACUUGAUCCUUCGGCCGUGAAGACGUCUACCAACUAACUAACUCAUCUGACUGGUGACCGUGAAGUCCAGCCACCUGUUGCCAACGCUGCCAUGCCGAGCUGAGGAAACUGCGUGAAAACAGAGUCUGUCCAUGAAAGACAAGGCCACCUUAUUUUGUAAAAGCAAAACCUGGAUUCUAAGUCGGCCCCUGAAAGGGACUCUGCCCGUGGGGAUGGUGGAAACGUAAACCCCGCAGCCCCUCAUCUUCUCCCAGGUGAUGCCUCAGUCACACUGGCUCCAAGGACAUGCUCCUGCCCUUGAGUGCUCUAGGUCGGACGUGGUGCCACACUGCGCAUACUGGCACAAGCGACCCUCUCCUUUGCUCCGUCUCGGACCGUCUCCAGUGCGCAAGUCCCCGUUCUUUUCCGUUGGCUCCACGAUGACCCGUUGUAUGGCUGUCCCAUAAUGUAUUUAGCCUCUCUCCUGCCGAUAGGCAUUUGGGCCAUUUUUAUCUUUUUUUUUUCACUCCCAAAGUGCUUCAGUAAAAACAAUGAAUAACUUCCUGUGCACGUAUGUGAAGUAUGUAGGACAACUUUCUAGAAACUGCUGGGUCAAAGAAUAGGUGCACCUUGAGUGUAAAUACAUAUUGUCAAAUUUA